ensembl:lncRNA
GAAACAUUUUAAACAAGAUUCAAUUUCUUUAAUAAGUGUAGAUGUUGAAAUAUUAUGUUUUGUUUUAGAUCAGUGUUGGCGAUAUACACAUAUUUAUGCUUAAGGAAAUUUGUCUACUUCAUCAGUAUCUCAUUGUCUCUUUUACUGUCAUACUAUUUUAUAUUCCAGUAUCUUUUUCCAAAGCUUAUUUAUGUUGGUAUCUUUUAUUUUUAUAUGUUGAUUGCUUUUAGGGAUUUACUAAUUUUGAUGACUUUUUGAAGCAAUAAUUCUGUCUCUGCUUGCUUUUUUAUCAUUUACCCUUCUUGAAAAUUUUCCUUGAUUUCUGUUCUUAUUUAUCACCCUCUGACAACUAUUUAUUUUAUGAUUAAUUUCUAUUUACUUUUCUUCAAACAUUUAAAAGCAGAAUGUUAGAUUACCAAAUUCUUGCAUUCCUUUUGUUUAUCAUUUUUUACAUUAUUUUACUUUGUUCCCAGCCAGAGUGUCUGUCUCUUCGGUGGAGAAGCCUUGAUGGCAACCCCGGAAUGUAAAACCUGUAGGAGGGUUGACAGGUACUGAAAGACAUACCAUGCUUCAUAUAGAUGCAAAAGGAGGGCAUAAAGGCCUUUUGUGGACAUGGACUGAACAAGCCAGGAGACUGAUAAUUCAAAGCAGAAGGAAUAGGACCACAAGAUCAGUGCCAUGCUCAGCCAUCAUCAGAGAUGCUUCCUGUUGCCGCAGAUGAGAACAAAUGUGAGACCCAGAGCCAGACAAUAUGCAGAGAGUGAGAAACUUUAUACCACUCAGUCCUAUGUGGUCUUAAUCAAAUCCUCUCUCGGGACUCAGGUGAUCAUGCAGAAGAGGAGACAGAAAGAGUGUAUGAACCAGAAGGCAUGGAGGACACCAAAGAAACAAGGUGCUCUAAGUGAACAGGAUCAAUGCACACAUGGAAGCAGAGACGGAGGCAGCAUGCACAGAGUCUGCACAAGUCUGCAGCAGAUUGGGUCCUCGAGCUGAAAGGAGGAGUAGACACAUUCCCCCAUCUAUAAUGCAAAAGCUAUCUCCGAUUGAUGACUACUUACAAAUGAAAAUUUAGUUUUCUCCAAAGGAGUCUCAAUGGGGAAGCAAAAUACGCUUAACAGUAGGCUGCCUGUCCAGUUGUAAAUGGCCAACAAAGCAAUGAACUCAGCCACAUCUUUUGAGGCUCCUUGUCUCAUAAUGUCAUGUCAGGGAUUUCUAUGUUUUAAUUUAAUUUAUUUUUUUACUCCCUACUUACCCUACAGCUCCUUUUGGUGUAUAGUAUGACUUCUAGCUUAGUGUUUUUAUGUGAUUCCUAGGCGUAUGAACAACUCUGAGUCUCUUUUUCUUGUGUCUUUUCUUGCAUUCUUUCCCUUUUGUUUAUUAUCCCUCAAAAUCCUGUUAAUUUUCUAAUGAGAGAUAGAAAAGGGAUAGCUCCAGAGAGAAGAGGGGGUAGGAACAGAGGAGAGUAAAAGGAAGGAAAUCAUAACCAGGAUAUAUAUGUAAGAAAAAAAUCUAUUUUCAAGAAAAGGAAAAAUAUUUUUGGAAAAAAUGUUAACAAAUUAUCUGGGCUAACUACUAGGAAAAUUGAGGUUAUUUUAGGGCAUAAGAAAGCAAUGGAUGGUACAGUGGUGUGGUGAUAUGAAGAAAUAGGAAAUGAAGUUUAUAUUUUAGUGAAGCGUCAGGUUGUUUACAGAGGACCCUUCCCAAACAGACAGAGGAUCUCUCCCAGAACUCUGUCUCCUAUAAAGAUGCAUCCAUUAUGAACAUUGUAGAUAAAGUUUUAGGAGAUAG